rnacentral:rRNA from 1 species
AUUGAACGCUGGCGGCAGGCCUAACACAUGCAAGUCGAACGGUAGCACAGAGAGCUUGCUCUCGGGUGACGAGUGGCGGACGGGUGAGUAAUGUCUGGGAAACUGCCCGAUGGAGGGGGAUAACUACUGGAAACGGUAGCUAAUACCGCAUAACGUCGCAAGACCAAAGUGGGGGACCUUCGGGCCUCACACCAUCGGAUGUGCCCAGAUGGGAUUAGCUAGUAGGUGGGGUAAUGGCUCACCUAGGUGACGAUCCCUAGCUGGUCUGAGAGGAUGACCAGCCACACUGGAACUGAGACACGGUCCAGACUCCUACGGGAGGCAGCAGUGGGGAAUAUUGCACAAUGGGCGCAAGCCUGAUGCAGCCAUGCCGCGUGUAUGAAGAAGGCCUUCGGGUUGUAAAGUACUUUCAGCGGGGAGGAAGGCGGUGGAGUUAAUAACUUCACCGAUUGACGUUACCCGCAGAAGAAGCACCGGCUAACUCCGUGCCAGCCGCCGCAGUAA